UACGUAGGGGGCUAGCGUUGUCCGGAUUUAUUGGGCGUAAAGAGCGUGUAGGCGGCCAUGUAGGUCCGGUGUGAAAACUCGAGGCUUAACCUCGAGAUGUCAUCGGAAACCAUUUGGCUAGAGUCCGGAAGAGGAGAGUGGAAUUCCUGGUGUAGCGGUGAAAUGCGCAGAUAUCAGGAAGAACACCAAUGGCGAAAGCAGCUCUCUGGGACGGUACUGACGCUGAGGUGCGAGAGCGUGGGGAGCGAACCGG
rnacentral:rRNA from 1 species